CCUACGGGAGGCAGCAGUGAGGAAUAUUGGUCAAUGGGCGGAAGUCUGAACCAGCCAUGUAGCGUGCGGGAUGAAGGCUCUACGGGUUGUAAACUGCUUUUGUACGGGGAUAAUAUCCUCUACGUGUGGAUGCCUGCAGGUACCGUGCGAAUAAGGGCCGGCUAAUUCCGUGCCAGCAGCCGCGGUAAUACGGAAGACCCGAGCGUUAUCCGGAUUUAUUGGGUUUAAAGGGUGCGUAGGCGGGCGUUAAAGUCAGCUGUAAAAUUGCGCGGCUCAACCGCGACCCGCAGUUGAAACUGGACGCCUAGAGUACACAAGAGGCAGGCGGAAUUCAUGGUGUAGCGGUGAAAUGCAUAGAGAUCA
rnacentral:rRNA from 1 species